rnacentral:misc_RNA from 1 species
GAUGAAGAACGUAGUGAAAUGCGAUAAGUAAUGUGAAUUGCAGAAUUCAGUGAAUCAUCGAAUCUUUGAACGCACAUUGCGCCCCUUGGUAUUCCAUGGGGCAUGCCUGUUCGAGCGUCAUUUGUACCCUCAAGCUUUGCUUGGUGUUGGGUGUUUGUCCCGCGUUGCGCGUGGACUCGCCUUAAAGCGAUUGGCAGCCGGCAUAUUGGCCUUGGAGCGCAGCACAUUUUGCGCUUCUAGUCAUGAAUGUUGGCGUCCAUUAAGCCUAUACAUUUGCUCUUGACCUCGGAUCAGGUAGGGAUACCCGCUGAACUUAAGCAUAUCAAUAAGCGGAGGA